AUACUUACCUGGACGGGGUCGAUGGGUGAUCAAGAAGGCCUAUGGCUUAGAUCAGUGACUUCCAUUGCAGUUGGGAGGGGUGCUGGCCUAAGGUCUCCCCAAGUUGGGAGAGCCUACGUCAUAAUUUGUUCAAAGC
rfam:Ricinus communis cultivar Hale ctg_1100012352735, whole genome shotgun sequence.